AUAACAAAAUUAACUAACCUGUAAAUAUUGCUUAAGCAUUUAAGCGUCAGCAUUGAAAGGCGGCUAUUCAGUUAAUGAAAUACUAAAUCUCUAUAUAUAAAUAAACGUACAUAUAUUUUCCCGCGCUCGUGCAAUAAUAUUUUAUUCUAUUUAAAUCGUUCAGGUGUGUAGUGACGUGUAUAUGAAAUUGUGCAGUGACGUAUAUUAGAAAUGUCGUCAGUCUCAGUCAAUCGUCAUAAUGAGUAUGAUGAAACAGAAAAUGGAAUAAAUGAAUGAAAGAAUGAAAUAAAUAAACUGAUGAAUAACCAAUCAACCAUUUAAU
rnacentral:lncRNA from 1 species